AGCUGAAUAGCAUUAAAAUUAUAUCGGGGGGCCAGAUAAAACUGCCUCAAGGGUCGCAAACGGCCCUAGAGACAUAGGUUCCCCACCCCUGGCCUACAUUGUCAAUAUGACUUGUGCUACUUUAUAGAUAAGUAAUCAAUGCUGUGCAUUGCUAUGUUUUGAUUUAUUUUCUUACAUCCUACAGAUCCUGGCAGGGAGACGGUAGUGUCCUGCAGAAUGGUGAUGGGCCAAUCUUACAAGAGACCACAGAAAACUGAUAUAGUGAACUAUAGAAACAACAGUGCCUGCUGCAGUAUAAUGAGGACACCCUGAGCAGAGAGCUCCAAUAGACCCAGGUCCAGUGUCUUGGCAGGGUGAAAUGGCACUGAUAUGGUGUCCUGCAGGAUGCUGUGUCCUGCAAUCCUGUGUGCUGUGCUACAGACGCGUGUGGAGGUCAACCCAAAAUGGGCACAGUCUCACCACAGAAGAGUGAAAGAGGGUAAGCUUAACCUAUAGCCUACGUCAGUGGUGGGGAACCUUUCUCAUUCGAAGGGCCAAUUCAAAUUCAUCCGAGGGGCCGUAAAAGUUCUCCAAGGGCCGUACUAUGAACACAAACCAGGAUUUUCCCCUUCACUUUAGACCUAUAUUGAAGGCAGCCACAUUUAAACAAACACCACCUUCUUCAGCUUCCCUGAAUAUAACUUAAUUGUAUUGCAAAUGUAUUUUCUAAGGUUCCUUUACAAAAUAUGUCAUAUUUUAUGUGAAGCUGAAUAACAUUACAAUUAUAUCGGGGACCAGAUAAAACGGCCUCAAGGGUCGCAAACGGCCCUCAAGACAUAGGUUCCCCACCCCUGGCCUACAUUGGCAAUAUGACUUGUGCUACUUUAUAGAUAAGUUCUCAAUGCUGUGCAUUGCUAUGUUUUGAUUUAUUUUCUUACAUCCUACAUAUCCUGGCAGGGAGACAUAGUGCAUGAGACCAUAGAAGACUGAAAUAGGACAUUAUCCCUGUUGGGCUCAAUAUGACUUGCUUAUUGAUAUAUUUGCUAUGUCAAUAUGAGGUGCAUGGUGAAGUAUUAAUUUAUUUGUUGUUUCUACAGCUCCCAGAAGUGAGACUGAGUGCCUGUUGCAGUAUGACGAGGACGCAGUGACCAGAGACCUUCA